rnacentral:rRNA from 1 species
AUUGAACGCUGGCGGCAGGCCUAACACAUGCAAGUCGAGCGGAUGAAGGGAGCUUGCUCCUGGAUUCAGCGGCGGACGGGUGAGUAAUGCCUAGGAAUCUGCCUGGUAGUGGGGGAUAACGUCCGGAAACGGGCGCUAAUACCGCAUACGUCCUGAGGGAGAAAGUGGGGGAUCUUCGGACCUCACGCUAUCAGAUGAGCCUAGGUCGGAUUAGCUAGUUGGUGGGGUAAAGGCCUACCAAGGCGACGAUCCGUAACUGGUCUGAGAGGAUGAUCAGUCACACUGGAACUGAGACACGGUCCAGACUCCUACGGGAGGCAGCAGUGGGGAAUAUUGGACAAUGGGCGAAAGCCUGGUCCAGCCAUGCCGCGUGUGUGAAGAAGGUCUUCGGAUUGGAAAGCACUUUAAGUUGGGAGGAAGGGCAGUAAGUUAAUACCUUGCUGUUUUGACGUUACCAACAGAAUAAGCACCGGCUAACUUCGUGC